rnacentral:rRNA from 1 species
UACGGGGGGGGCAAGCGUUGUUCGGAAUUACUGGGCGUAAAGGGCUCGUAGGCGGCCAACUAAGUCAUACGUGAAAUCCCUCGGCUUAACCGGGGAACUGCGUCUGAUACUGGAUGGCUUGAGUGUGGGAGAGGGAUGCGGAAUUCCAGGUGUAGCGGUGAAAUGCGUAGAUAUCUGGAGGAACACCGGUGGCGAAGGCGGCAUCCUGGACCAUUACUGACGCUGAGUGAGCGAAAGCCAGGGGAGCAAACAGG